UGCCAAGCCCUAGGAAAGCGCCUAGAGGU
rnacentral:piRNA from 1 species